rnacentral:rRNA from 1 species
GACGAACUGUCCUAACGUUGUUCGGAAUCACUGGGCUUAAAGGGCGCGUAGGCGGUCCGCCAAGUCAGGGGUGAAGUCCUGCAGCUUAACUGUAGAAGUGCCUCUGAUACUGGCGGUCUUGAGGGAAAUAGGGGUGUGCGGAACUUCCAGUGGAGCGGUGAAAUGCGUUGAUAUUGGAAGGAACGCCGGAGGCGAAAGCGGCGCACUGGAUUUCUUCUGACGCUGAGGCGCGAAAGCUAGGGGAGCAAACGGG